CUCCACUUCCUUGUUUCAAAUAAAGACUGUCUCUAAGAAGAAACCUGAGGGGUGCCUGGAUAUUUCUUUUUUUCCAUUUGACAGACGUACACUGACACACCCACUCACUUACAGAUACACACUCUCGAUACACAAACAUUGACAUACACACACCCUCAAUUAUUUGACACAAUCUUGACACACACAUAUUCACUAACAGUCACACACACUUACUGAUUUUACACAUUGAUUUGACACACAAACUCACUCACAG